AUUGAACGCUGGCGGCAGGCCUAACACAUGCAAGUCGAGCGGAGCGGCGGACGGGUGAGUAAUGACUAGGAAUCUGCCUGGUAGUGGGGGAUAACGUCCGGAAACGGGCGCUAAUACAGCAUACUAUCAGCUGAGCAUAGGACGGAUGAGCUAGUUGGUGGGGUAAAGGCCUACCAAGGCGACGAUCCAUAAAUGGUCUGAGAGGAUGAUCCGGCAAACGGGAACUGAGACACGGUCCCGACUCCUCCGUGGGGCAGCAGUGGGGAUGAUUGUACAAUGGGCGAAAGCCUGAUCCAGCCAUGCGGCGUGUGUGAAGAAGGUCUUCGGAUUGUAAAGCACUUUAAGUUGGGAGGCGUUACCAACAGAAUAAGCACCGGCUAACUUCGUGCCAGCCGCCGCGGUAAUAC
rnacentral:rRNA from 1 species